rnacentral:misc_RNA from 1 species
GAUGAAGAACGUAGCGAAAUGCGAUACUUGGUGUGAAUUGCAGAAUCCCGUGAACCAUCGAGUCUUUGAACGCAAGUUGCGCCCGAAGCCAUUAGGCCGAGGGCACGCCUGCCUGGGCGUCACACGUCGUUGCCCCCCCAUCUACUCCUUCGGGAUUGCGGGGGGCGGAUGAUGGCCUCCCGUGCGCCUCGCCGCGCGGUUGGCAUAAAUGCCAAGUCCUCGGCGACGCACGCCACGACAAUCGGUGGUUGCGAAACCUCGGUUGCCCGUCGUGUGCGGUCGUCGCGCAGCGAGGGCUCGAAAAAAUUGCCGGGUUCCGGCUCGGCUUUCAACGCGACCCCAGGUCAGGCGGGGUUACCCGCUGAAUUUAAGCAUAUCAAUAAGCGGAGGA